rnacentral:rRNA from 1 species
AGCGAACGCUGGCGGCAGGCCUAACACAUGCAAGUCGAACGAACUCUUCGGAGUUAGUGGCGGACGGGUGAGUAACACGUGGGAACGUGCCUUUAGGUUCGGAAUAACUCAGGGAAACUUGUGCUAAUACCGAAUGCGCCCUUCGGGGGAAAGAUUUAUCGCCUUUAGAGCGGCCCGCGUCUGAUUAGCUAGUUGGUGAGGUAAAGGCUCACCAAGGCGACGAUCAGUAGCUGGUCUGAGAGGAUGAUCAGCCACAUUGGGACUGAGACACGGCCCAAACUCCUACGGGAGGCAGCAGUGGGGAACCUUGCGCAAUGGGCGAAAGCCUGACGCAGCCAUGCCGCGUGAAUGAUGAAGGUCUUAGGAUUGUAAAAUUCUUUCACCGGGGACGAUAUGACGGUACCGGGAGAAUAAGCUCCGGCUAACUCCGUGCCAGCAGCCGCGGUAA